UACGGGGGGGGCAAGCGUUGUUCGGAAUUACUGGGCGUAAAGGGCUCGUAGGCGGCCAACUAAGUCAGACGUGAAAUCCCUCGGCUUAACCGGGGAACUGCAUCUGAUACUGGAUGGCUUGAGUUCGGGAGAGGGAUGCGGAAUUCCAGGUGUAGCGGUGAAAUGCGUAGAUAUCUGGAGGAACACCGGUGGCGAAGGCGGCAUCCUGGACCGACAUUGACGCUGAGGCGCGAAAGCCAGGGGAGCAAACGGG
rnacentral:rRNA from 1 species